CCCAUGAAUACAUGAUGAAAUAAAUGUUGGUAGGGACAUCUGAGUAAAUCUGAAGAAACGCCAACUCUUCUGACUACAUGGG